rnacentral:rRNA from 1 species
GACAGAGGUGCCAAGCGUUAGGCGGAAUCACUGGGCUUAAAGCGUGUGUAGGCGGGCGAUCAAGUACCUUGUGAAAUCCCACGGCUCAACCGUGGAACUGCUGGGCAUACUGGCGAUCUUGGGCCAACUAGGGGCAGCCGGAACAAGCGGUGGAGCGGUGAAAUGCGUAGAUAUCGCUUGGAACGCCGAAGGUGAAAACAGGCUGCUGGGGUUGUGCCGACGCUGAGACACGAAAGCCAGGGGAGCAAACGGG